rnacentral:misc_RNA from 1 species
CAGGCUCACAUGGUGCACUUUUUCCGUCCACCCUUAUCCUUGUGUGUGUCUUCUCGUCGUUCCGCAGAAGACCACGUACGAAUGCGUCCAUGAGGCUACGGAACCCAUGCGGCGUAAAAGGGAUAGCAGCCGAUGCACUCGUCGACCUUGUCCAGGGCUGCUACCCGUCCGCCACUGUCCUGUUCACCUCGGUGGCGAGUAGUGCUGCCACUGCGGAUAACAGUGAGGUCCGCAUAUCCAGCUCGUUUGACGCAUGGCAGGCAAAGCUGCACACACGCCGAGCUUGGAGGCAAGGUCUGACAGUAGAGACCCCUGGAUUUCAGCGCAUCUUGGCACGCCGCCACAUCGUUCCUGCCACUUCGGCGGAGGCUGGAGCGUCAUCAUGGUGGGCUCUACUGUACGCUGCCGACGCUACAAACAGCCCACCUGUUGCCCUUCCUCAACAGCCAUCGAAGUCAUUGCCGCCGUCUGACAUCGCACACCCCAUCCUCUGCUGCCCAGACGCCAUCGUGUACAUUGGCGGCGUCGAGGUGCGGGAUGUGACGCAAGUGGUGGCGCCAAUGCUUGUAAACGCGGUGACCAGAGUUGAAGCGCCGCGCAGCACCGUCGGCGCGGCGUCCGCCACACACCGGGCAGAGCGACAGGCACCCAGCUACUGCCGGCGAAGCGUUGACUGGCCUACUAUAUGGGCAGAUAAGCGGUGCGCUAUGCGCGGAGCAGACUUGCUGGAGCUUUCGCUCGCCGUGCCGAGCGGCGUAGACCACCGCCAUGCGGAUAUUCGUGAACGCAUGUUAGUCUCCAUUGCCAACCCUGAUGUCACCUUGGCAGAUCUGCAGCGUCAGCGACACGCCGAACGUCGCGGGCCGCUUCGAACGUCCUUUGGUUUUUCGCUUCCCUGCAUUCGAGCCGCCCUGCCAGCUGCGGUGAUACGUGCCGUUCGCGUGCUGCGCCGGUGGCAACAAGACGUAGUGCACUGCAUUCCGAGCACGAGUGCCUUCUGGGUUUCCUCGGUCGGCCACCUGCUGGAGACUAGCGUCGGCGAUGCAGCCUCUCCACUGACGCAGCGGGCGGAAGCAUGUACGCGGCAGGAACAGGAGUUGGGGAUGUCGGAGACGCAGGUGCGCCACCUUUUCGCCAUCGUGCAACCCGACAGCGAUCAAACAAAAAUCCGAGUGCCGCCUCCCGGGGAGGCAACGAAGCUGCUCACGUUUCUCCUCACUUCCACUGUCCUACAGCUGGCGUGUACGUCGCCGUUGGAAGCGUGGAAUGGCAUAAACUACUUCCUCCCGGCAGAGCGGUUUGAUGGCACCACAGAUGCCGAGGUGCUGCUCCGCACCAUGCGCGGCGGCGCGGGGACACACCUAACCUUUCCCAUCUUCUCUACCCUCUACGGCGCAUCGUGCGGUGAAGAACAGGGCCCUUUGAGCCAGUCCUCCUCAUAGCCUUGCCUGUGUCACCGGUUCUGAUAUUCUUGACUGAGAAAGGCGGAACAGAGAAAGUCGUCUGCUCUGUGCGCCUUGUAUGUUUUGUCAUGUCGCUCGUGUACUCGCCCUCCCCCCCCCCCGCCCCGAUCACCACCGCCAG